ensembl:lncRNA
CGAGCGAGCAAAAAUUUGUCUCGAGCGAGCAAAAGUUUGUCUCCGCGAGGUAUUUGCUCGCUUGUGAAACGUGAACUUCGUUGCUCGUGAGGAGAAUCUCUGCUCGCGCUCGAAGUAGUUUUCUACGCGCUCGCUGUUGUUCUUUUUGACAGUAAGGUGGAGACGGUGCUUUCAGGGUCCGGUCGAUGAGAGGCACAAAAUCUUAAUUUCCACCAGGCUGAUUGCAUUGUAUAUGGUUGAUUUAACAGAAUUUAGGGAGUGUGUUAUUUAUUUCAAACCGUGCUCUGCUGAGAGUUUUUAUUAUUUUGAUUUAAUUUCUUUUACUUUUAGCCUACUUUUAUUUUCUGUCUUUGCACUGCUGACUAGCCUGAAUAAAAUAGACAGGUUAUUGUCUAUGCUGGUUUGUCUAGCCUUUAUUGAGCUCUGUUGGUUGAGCAUGAUGUUUAGACAGUGUUUUGUUAUUGUCUUUGCCGAAUAUUGCAAAAUAAAGGUGUAACUGUUUUUGCAAUUUAGCUACUCUCUUUUCUACUCUCUAAGGUUUAAUUAUUAUUUAAGUAAUUUUUUUUCUACAAAAAACUAGGCCCACCCACUUUUUCACUGGCCCGCCCAAAAUACAAUUUCUGCCUAAGCCCCUGCUGCUCGCGCACAAAGGAGUUUUCUACGCGCUCGCUGUUGUUCUUUUUGACAGUAAGGUGGAGACGGUGCUUUCGGGGUCCGAUCAAUGCUGCGAGGUGGGUCUGGAUUAGGAUUGAAGGAUUAGGGAUGAAUGAGGUUCAUACAUUUUGUUCGUCCGGCGGUGCUGCAGCUUCAUUAUGCUACUUGAUAUUGUGCUUUGCUCCACGCUUUGCUCCCCCCCUCCAAGUUCUUACACCUGCUUUAGCUUUGUUUUUUUUGUCUUCGACACUGGGUUGUCCCCCAAUAGUUUUGUUUGCGUUUCAGAACGUUAACUUUACACACUCUUUGUUGUCAUUGUGGACAGUGAGGAAGUUAUGUAACGGAGGUGUCAUAAAACUCUGCACUGUUUGAGAAGAAAACGCCAGGUCUCUGAACUUAAGAAAGAACAGCCAAGGCCCUUGAGUUUUUACUACACGAGCCAGACGCGCAGGUUCAGAUGCUCGCAGUUUGUUUUAUGAUGUCAGGCCUUAAACUGCAGAUACUUCAGCUGAGCUCGCAGGGGCAUAAUCUCCAGCUGGAAAGCUUUCUCGGGCCCUGGUGUUGCCCUUCACCUGGGUGAGGCGUGGAAAGUUGGCAGGAGACUGGAGUUUCAGCAACAUCAAUACUCUUCCUGCCACCAGGUUUGUUUUAUGUCUCUCUGCGUCGGCGGGCACUUGAGGGGUGGACAAUUUGUUUAGGCAGCUGAAGAUGGAACUGUGUGUAGCGGAGGAUUAUGAGAUCGCCGGGUGAUUUGUGGGUGGGAUCUUCUCAGAGGCCCCCGGCUGAAAUAUCCAACACUUGCUUUGGUGUUAAAUUAUGAUACCUAAACCAUAAAUAUUCUGCAUUAAGACCCCCAGCGUUCCACGUUUGAGAACAGAUAGUUUGUCUUUCUGUUCUUACUCCCCCCGUGAGUGGCUGAAUUUGUCCCACAUUCCUUUGUGAAAAACACUUAAUGAGUCAGUGAAACCAGGGAUUUUAUUCUUCCUCUGUUGCGCACACAUCUUCGCAGCGCGGUUUACAUCUUAAUAAUGUACUCCAGACCAUAAUUUAAUUCACCACAGCAGUGUGAAACACACACCGAGAAGGAAUCUCGCCACAGCAAAAAUUGGAGUGUUGAAAUUUCAGGGUUAAAAAUUUCCGAGUUGAUUUUCACUCCCUGAGUGUAAUUUUAACACAUUCUGAUUUAAAUGGUGUUCAGUGUUGGAGUUAUUUGGCAGAGUUGAUCAUGUCAGUGUUAACCCAACUCCGCAGAGACGUAAUUAAGCUCCGCCCACGCCUUUCACCUCUUCGGUUAGAGACAGAGAAGACAAGUCUGCGCCAUUUUCUACCUCUCAUGCAGUACUACACGGUAAGUGCAAUUAAGUUAAACUCACUGAAACAAUUAAAAAUUGAUGCUGAGAAUUUCAGUAUGAACAAUUAAAUAUCUACAGAGAAUAUAUGCCUUACACAGCCGUGUUUGUUGCCAGGACUGAACAGUACAUUUGUCCUCGUGGUUAGCUAGCUAGUUAGCAGUGUACGGUAAGCUAGCUAACAGUUUGUUACUAAAACUAUCUCCAACUUUAUCAAUAAUGAUUUAACAAUUCAUAGGCAUACUCAAAGGUAGGAAAUACAAAGCAUUAUGAUUUUUAACUAUAUAAAAUCUUGUUUGAGGCUGGAGCUAACGUUUUUUUUUCCUCUUUGAAGAUCAAAGGGACCGCAAAAAACGUGUCCCAACAUGCAGACGGUGUUUCACGUGUCUAGUUCACGUGUCUAGCUAUCCAUCAGAUUCUAUGACCUGCAGUGUUGGAAAAAGUACUCAUUUACUUAAGUAAAAGUAUUCAAAAUGCUGGUCCAGGUGAAGUACAGCCAACAGCAGAAGUAUGUAAAGUUGGAUGAGGAUGAAGGACUGUUUGACUUUCUGCAAUUCCAUGAAAAAGUCAUGGAGAGAUUUGGCCUGCCACCUGAUGCAAAUGUUAUAUACAAGGAUGCAACAGGGACAGAAGUUGAUGCAGAAAUAUUCAGCGACCUCGUUGGACAAGGCAAUGUGGUCCUGACAGUUUUCUCAGAUCAGGGUGAGAUAUUAAGGCAGGUAUAAUAAAGCACUCUACACCUUAGUAUAUCAUUUAAUAAUUUAAAUGUUCUCUAUUGCUUUAGAAUUCUCUGAUUUCUCCUUGUCUUCUGAGACGUCUGACUCAAGCUUCAGCUCAAGUGCAUCAACUAUAAUCCUAGAUGUUCCGAACAAGAGACAAAGAAUUGAGGAUACACGUGAUGCUGUGUCUGCUAAACAGUUGAUAGAAGCUGUGCUAAGAGGCAAGUCCGGAGGUGAAGAAGUACUACAGGAGUACCAAACAACAGAAACCCAGAUGCUGCAAGAAGACAAAUGGUUAAUAUCCUGGUGGCUCACAUGAUUGACAAUCAUGGGAACACUUCUAUGAUGCUGCAAGCAGCACAGGAUACAUUUCUUGGCGUCUGAAAACAGUCCAGAGGAAGAUUCGUCAAGUAUCUGCACAGCCACCAAAAAGCCCAAUUGACUUUUCUCCAGUAGGCCCAAAUUGCCAAAGGACUGUUAAUGUUGAAGGGCAGCUUGAUGGUGAUGCUUGCCAAGAGGCCAUGUCUUUGCUUAACCAUGCAGCAGACAAUUCCCUGAUUUUCCAGAAGAUGAGAGAGACCUUUCAGCAUCGUCAGAAGCUUGUUAAUGACCCAGGCAGAAGUGUUGAUAUACUCUCCAACUUCCCAAGAUUUCUGGAUACAAAAGGAUUGGUGGAACAAGACUUCACUCUCCUAUUUGACGAAGACACAUCAUCCAGGCUUCUUCAGAAAUGGGAUUUGUUCUUCAAGCCAAAUGUCAUUAAAGAGGCUAAGCGGCUCACCUCAACACCAGAGUUGCGUCGCUUGGUGCAGUCAGCAGAAAGUCCCCCAGGAAGUGAUCUUGAUGAGGCAACAACCUACGACCAAGAAAUGGCCUCCCUGUUGUUGCUGUUACAUCUCCUUCCACCACCUCCAGGGGGACUGAAGUCUCCAAAAAUUAGUGCAUGUGAUGCAGUUGAAAGACUUGUUGUCUUUCAUAAGUCAUGCUGCAGUUUGGAGGAGCAUCUCCGCAACCAGCAGGGUCGGCAGCCGUACCUCCUCGCUGUUGGGCGUCAGAAGAGCAAGAUUGACAGCUUCUACGUCACCAUGGAUAAGCGUCUCAUCCCAUGCAAGGCAAACCGCUCCCUCGGGGCAUGUGAUGAACUUUUCAAAGCACAUUAAAUUUGUCUUACGAUGUGGCACUUGUGAAUUUUUAUACAUUCCUGCAGACAACAGUGUAUAACAUUGAUGUGGGGAAAAUGAAGGAGUCACCCAGAGUUAAAGACUUGAGAGCAAGACUGCUUAACCAGCAAGUAGCAUUCUCACCCUGUGAGUAAGAAGCUAUAACAAUGCUGACCUGUUUCAUGUGUCAGAAAAAUUAUCCCAGCAGUCAGCAGUUGAUUUCACAUUUAAGAGUUGAACAUGGUUACUAUCCUGGACCCAAGUUCAAAUUGUUUUGUUCUCAGCAAUGCUGUAGGCAUCAGUUCCUAACAUAUGCAGGUUUUCGAAAGCACCGUAAUAGUGUUCAGAGCAUUUUUCAGCAAACUCAAACUUCAACUGUUGCAUGUUCAUCUAGUGAGCCAGUUGCAACUUCAUCUCAGGCACAUACUUUGGAGGACCAAUUUAUUCCACAAAAUCAAUGUAGUUCUUCCAGUAUUUCUUCUGAGGCCAAUGAUUCAGGACUUACUAAAGAUCCAACUAAAGAAAUGUGUGCAUCCAUCGUGGCCAAAUUACAGGGGAGUGGGAUAUCCAACAGUUUGGUAUCCUCAAUUGUAGGAGAUUUGGAAGAACUAACGAGUGAACUUCGCUCACAAGCAAAGCAUACAGCUAUUUCUGCUUUACCUAUAACUGACCCCAACAUAUCUGUGAUAAAUGAAUCUUUUGAAGAUUAUGAAAAUCCGUUUUCAAAUCUGAACACAGAAUGGAAACGAAAUAAAUACUUCCACCAAAAAUGGGGAGUUGUUGAGCCAGUAGAAAUAACACUGGGAGUGAGAUAUGACAACAGGCGAAAUCAGAAAUCCGGUACUUAUGAUCAAGUACCUGUGAAGGAUACUUUUAUCUAUGUGCCAAUUUUAGAAACAUUGAAGUUCAUGUGCAGAAAUCCAGACAUUUGUGUUUUGCUAAAGAAGGAGUGUAGAUCAGAGCCUGACACUUAUACUGACUUUUUUGGUGGAAGUUAUUUUAAAACCCACCCUUUGUUUACAGCUAAUAAACAUGCAUUGCAAAUUCAACUAUACUAUGACGAUUUUGAAACAGCCAAUCCCCUUGGCUCCAAACGUGGAAUACACAAAAUUGGCUGUCUUUAUUUUGUUGUAAGAAAUUUGCCCCCAAAAUUUAAUUCGGUUUUGAUGAACAUUCAUUUGGUAUCACUUUUUCACACACAAGAUCUGCGCAAGUAUGGUUUUGAUGUUAUACUAGAACCGUUGAUAAAUGAUGUGAAAAAACUAGAAAGCCAAGGGCUAAGUCUUCCAUUUGUAGAUGAGCAGGUAUAUGGUACAAUCUGUCAGAUUACUGGAGAUAAUCUAGGGAUGCACACAAUUCUUGGUUUUAAUGAGUCAUUUAGUAGCCGUCAUUUCUGUUGCCUUUGUUUGAUUGAGAAGAAUGAUUGUCAAACGGUAUACAGUGAGGAUGAUCCUAAAGUGAUCCUUCGUGGAAAAGAUAUGUUUGAUAUGCAUUGCCAGUCUCUCCAGGAAAACCCACAAUUUAAGUCACUUUAUGGUUUGAAAAAAAGAUCUGCACUUAAUUCAUUGAAGUAUUUCCAUGUUUGCAAUAACUAUUCAUUUGAUAUCAUGCAUGAUCUUCUUGAGGGUGUGGUUCAGUAUGAGAUCAAAUUGCUUUUUGGAUAUCUCACACAACACUUUAUGUCAGAACAAGACUUGCUUUCCAGGAUUUAUGGUUUUGAUUAUGGAUUUUUAGAACGAAAAAAAUCGUCCUACAAAGAUUAUUUUGGAGAGUGCUGGCAAUGGCAUUGGUUUGAAUUCUAUUCAGACAUUGUGUCUUGUGAAAAACAUCCCACUGUUGUUUGGUGAAAUUAUUCCUGCAGGAAACAAAAACUGGAAUUGGUUACUGUUGUCAAAUAAUGAACAUAGUUUUUUCACCUUCUCUCACUCUAGGUAUGACAAUAUAUUUAAAGCAUUUGAUUGUUGACCACCACAAACUAUUUAAGCACUUGUAUCCACAUAGAAACGUGAUACCUAAGCAUCAUUUUAUGAUCCAUUACCCAUCUUCUAUAAGGAAAAUUGGCCCCUUAUUAUAUACGUGGUGUAUGAGGUUUGAGGCCAAACACAAGCUGUUUAAAGAUUCUUUAAAAAAUUUCAAAAACAUAACCAAAUCGCUUGCUAUAAAGCAUCAGAUGGCCAUUGCUUAUCACUGGGAAACCUUC